UCCUGACUGACCGAUAGUGAACCAGUACCGUGAGGGAAAGGCGAAAAGAACCCCGGCGAGGGGAGUGAAAAAGAACCUGAAACCGUGUACGUACAAGCAGUGGGAGCACCCUUUGGGUGUGACUGCGUACCUUUUGUAUAAUGGGUCAGCGACUUAUAUUCUGUAGCAAGGUUAACCGAAUAGGGGAGCCGGAGGGAAACCGAGUCUUAACCGGGCGUUAAGUUGCAGGGUAUAGACCCGAAACCCGGUGAUCUAGCCAUGGGCAGGUUGAAGGUUGGGUAACACUAACUGGAGGACCGAACCGACUAAUGUUGAAAAAUUAGCGGAUGACCUGUGGCUGGGGGUGAAAGGCCAAUCAAACCGGGAGAUAGCUGGUUCUCCCCGAAAGCUAUUUAGGUAGCGCCUCGUGAAUUCAUCUCCGG
rnacentral:rRNA from 1 species